rnacentral:lncRNA from 1 species
ACUUGUACGUAUAAGAAUAUAAUCUGAGUGCCAGUAGAGAUUGAGUUCGAGUACUGGUGCGAAAAUGGAGUUGUUUUAUUACGUGGUGUUUGGGGCUCUGGCCGCAGUGGUAGCAGCUCUAGAGCUGGGUGGAAAGAGCAACAAAGAUCGAAUCACAACUUCUCAGGCUUUCAAUUCCUUCAAAAAUAAUUACAUUCUCGUUUACUCUCUUAUGAUGGGUACGUUCCUUUUCUUCUCCUCAGAUCUGAGCCUGUUUUUACCUCUAAUUUAUUAAAUCACUAUGCAUUUUCACAUUAGUGUCUGUUGGAAUUCUCCGACUUACCUGCUCGAUCUGAUUAUCCGAACGUGGACUUUAUCGGAAUUUGAAUCUUGUCUAUUUGGAUCUGAGUUUUGGGUUGCUUUUGAGGCAAAUUGAACGAGUAGAUUGGGUCUUGAAGUGUUCAUAUGCAGCCUAAUUUGAUUAGUGGUCUUUAGAUCUGUGCAUGAGCAUUUCAUUUAAUGAUUCCUUGUUAAUCCAGCUGUAUUAUCUAAGCAACUACAACAACAACUACCCAGUAUACUCCCACCAGGUGGAGUCUGGGGCAUUAUUAUCUAAGCAACUAUUUAUUCAUAUUGCCUAUGGAUUAUUGAGGCUCCAAUGAUCAUUAGCACAGCUAAAAAACAAAAGAGGCUAAGUAUUUACUUCUUGAUCCUAUGCUGGAAUUAUUCAAUAAUUAACUAUUAUAUAUGGAGUAAUAUUGUAUGAGUAAGAAAAUGGUGAUACUUCAGCAUUUAUGAUUGUGUGAAUGGUGGUGUUUCAUUUGCUAAUGGUUGGAUUUUUGGUGGAUAUAGCUGGUGAUUGGCUACAGGGUCCAUAUGUAUACUACCUAUAUAGCACUUAUGGAUUUGGAAAGGGGGAUAUUGGACAGCUGUUUAUAGCUGGAUUUGGAUCUUCCAUGUUGUUUGGCACAAUUGUUGGAUCUCUUGCUGACAAACAGUAGGCCUUUUUCAGAAUAUUUUGUGUGUCAAUAAUCAUCUUUUAAUGCCCCAAAAGUUUCUUGUUACAUGAUCUUUCCUUGGAUUUAAUUUUCAGGGGUCGGAAGAGGGCAUGUGUAACCUACUGUAUCACUUAUAUACUGAGCUGCAUCACCAAGCAUUCCCCUCAAUACAAGAUUCUGAUGGUUGGACGUGUUUUGGGUGGCAUUGCUACAUCUUUACUGUUUUCAGCGUUUGAGUCAUGGCUUGUAGCAGAACACUUUAAGGUGACAUGACAUGUCCUUAUUAUCAAGCUGCCUUUUAACUAGGAAAUCCAUAUCGAACUGUUAAAUUUGAUCUUUAUACAUUGUUGAUCGUACUACCGUUGUCCUUGAGAUACAACUUGCAAUCCUUUGAAGGAACAUAGCAAGUGUUUGCUCUUUGAUUUUGCUUUUUAUUAAUCUAAUAUAUUUUUAUGAAGUUUUAAUAUAUUACUUGCUUUCUUUGUGCAGAGGGGUUUUGACUCCCAAUGGCUCUCACUAACUUUCUCCAAGGCAAUAUUCGUUGGAAAUGGUCUUGUUGCCAUUAUCGCUGGAUUAUUUGGGAAUUUUCUUGUUGAUUCAUUAAAUCUCGGCCCUGUGUCUCCUUUUGAUGCUGCUGCCUGCUUUCUUGCCAUUGGAAUGGCUAUCAUAUUAUCAUCAUGGUCGGAGAACUAUGGAGACCCAUCUGAGAGCAAAGACUUGCUCACUCAAUUCAAGGGUGCAGCUGUGGCCAUUGCUUCGGGUAUAUAUGCUGCACAUUAUGUUUUUUUUGUGGACGAUCUUCAACCCAUGCAUCGUCAAAGUGGAUAGAGUGAUUCCUUUCCGAUGAGAUUUGACAUGGAUAUAGAUUUGCUAUGUGCUUCCUAUUUAUCUGUUUAGAGGUAGAGUUUAUACGCUGACGAAGUUGUACACCAUGCUAGGGGCAUAGCAAAGUGGUUUGGGGAAGUUAUAAGAUUAAUUACAUUCUGCUAUCUUUAAGGUUACAGGAACACACCAUUUCUGCACCCAGGUUAUCUGUGAUGAUUUAAAGCUCCAUAGCUGCCUGAAAAAGGGCAGGCGUAGGUUGCAUUUUCAGGGACUUAACAUCUUUUUCUGUUCUCUUGAUACUGCAUUCUUUGUGAUAUAUCUGUUUGAUAUAUUCAAUGAUGGCUGUUCAGUUUGUAGCUCUUGCACUCUGUAUCAUUACUCGAUUUUUUGUUUUGUUAACAUUUACUUUUGCACUAUCCUUGUUGCUGCACGGUUUCUGACAGAUGAGAAGAUUGCAUUACUCGGUGCUAUACAAUCUCUGUUUGAAGGUUCAAUGUAUACAUUUGUGUUUCUGUGGACUCCUGCUCUCAGCCCAAAUGAUGAAGACAUUACCCAUGGUUUUAUUUUUGCAACUUUCAUGUUGGCUUCAAUGUUGGGAAGCUCAUUUGCAGCUCGUCUUAUGGCCCGGAACUCACCUAAAGUUGAGAGUUACAUGCAAGUUGUUUUUGUCGUAUCUUCUGCAUCUCUCUUGCUGCCCAUUCUGACAACUGUAAGUAGGAAAUGCCUUUAUUCUUUUGAGUUUUCUGCCUUGUGGUUUGUUGGUUUUUAACAUAUCUCAUUGAACCAGUUCCUAGUAUCUCCUUCAAAUGUGAAAGGGGGAGGCAUCUCCUUUUCUGGAUGUAUCCAGCUUCUUGGCUUCUGCACCUUCGAGGGUUGCUGUGGCCUCUUCUGGCCAUCCAUCAUGAAGAUGAGGUCUCAAUACAUUCCCGAGGAGGCAAGGAGCACCAUAAUGAACUUCUUCAGGAUUCCACUCAACAUGUUUGUGUGCAUUGUGCUUUACAAUGUAUGUUAUCGUUCUCUGCCCUAAGUAACUGUGUUGCACAUGUUCCGGUUCUUACAUUAGUUACCUGAGCAGUUGUUGUGCUGCAAUACAUAAUUCUUAUUUCAAUUAAGCGUUCCGGUUUUUGACGAUCUUUUCAUGUCUAUUUGAAGGUCAAUGCUUUCCCCAUCACCGUGAUGUUUGGCAUGUGCUCAAUUUUCCUCUUUGUUGCAUCCAUCCUGCAAAGACGGCUUGCAGCCAUUGCAGACAAGCCAAGUAAGUACUUGGCUCUCUCUAAAGCUUGAAAGGAAAUUGAUGCCUUAGAUUUAAGAUCAUGCAUUACCAAUUCUGAGGCAGGAUUAGUUCUCACACAUGGCCAAUCGUACUUGAUUAUGACUUAAUAUGAUAUUACCUUAUUUUGCUCUAUGUAACGUCGAUGGAUUGACUUAAUGUUUUGCUGAUUGCAGAAGCAGAAGAUUGGGUAGCAAUGAAAGAAAGGGAUACUGAGGCCGAUCCAUUAAAUGCAUCUUGAUUUAGCAGU